UCAACUCAGCAUGCUUAGCCAUCAAGGGCCGAUUCAUCUUUUUGAAAUGAAUCGGUACUUUAAAAUUGUAAUCUUGUAACUUUCGCCUGUGUAGUCCCCAAGGGCCGGUUUAUCUUUUUAAGAUGAACCGGGACUUUUACCAAUGUUUACUUUGAGCAAAUAUACAUUAGUGUGACGCCCGGAUAAUCAAUCUACAGUAACCUCUGCUAAUAAUGCCACAUCACCUCAAUUACUAUUGCUAAUCUCGCGUUAGUUAGAAACUGAUUCAAAUUCAAGUAUGAAUUAAAGUCAAAACAAUUAAAGUUUUCAACAAUUAAAACUAAAAUGUUCGGAUUGAACCAAAUAAUGCAUAGGCAAUUAUGGUGGAGAAACCAAACCUUUAUAAAAUAUUUAAAUACUAUUAGAUGGAUAAAACAUCAGGGAAACUAUUAUUUAAAUACUUUUAAAUAUUAAAUAAUUAUGAAACUAUUUUAGUUUGGGUAGCAAGUUAAUGUGGCCGUGGCAUAUUUGGUAACAACAAAUUAGGUGCCAUUUUGGUAUUUUGCUAAAACAAAAUAAAAGAGAAACUAGAAAUAAAACAGAAAAGAAAAAUAAAUAAAAAGUAAAAAGAAAGNNNNNNNNNNNNNNNNNNNNNNNNNNNNNNNNNNNNNNNNNNNNNNNNNNNNNNNNNNNNNNNNNNNNNNNNNNNNNNNNNNNNNNNNNNNNNNNNNNNNNNNNNNNNNNNNNNNNNNNNNNNNNNNNNNNNNNNNNNNNNNNNNNNNNNNNNNNNNNNNNNNNNNNNNNNNNNNNNNNNNNNNNNNNNNNNNNNNNNNNNNNNNNNNNNNNNNNNNNNNNNNNNNNNNNNNNNNNNNNNNNNNNNNNNNNNNNNNNNNNNNNNNNNNNNNNNNNNNNNNNNNNNNNNNNNNNNNNNNNNNNNNNNNNNNNNNNNNNNNNNNNNNNNNNNNNNNNNNNNNNNNNNNNNNNNNNNNNNNNNNNNNNNNNNNNNNNNNNNNNNNNNNNNNNNNNNNNNNNNNNNNNNNNNNNNNNNNNNNNNNNNNNNNNNNNGCGACGCCUCGGGCACCUCCACUCCCCUCUCUCUCUCCCUCUCUCUCUCUCUCUCUCUCUCUCGCCUGCGCUCUCUCCCCUCCUCGUCCGCCUGGGCCGCGCCUCUCCGUCACCGCUCACCGCACUCCACCGCGGCCAUCGGCCGACCUUCGCCUCGCCGACGUGCCCCAAGGCUCUGCCUCGACCUCCUCAUCCUCCCUGCCGAGCCACGCGGACCGGGACAGCCCCGCAGCACCACCGCGACCUCUUCUUCCUCCUCUGCCCCGACCCUGGCCGUCGUCGAUUAGCUCCAUCGAGCCUCCCCCGAGCCCAUGAUUGCACACCUACAGGCUCCCAGUGAGCCUCUGUUUCCUUCCCCCUCCCUGCGGCACCCCUUUCGCCCGUAGCCGCCGCUCCACUGGUACUAGCACGCAUCGCCGCCGACGAGCUCGCCUCCGUGGCCAUCGCCACUGUCACGUGCGGCUGAACCUCGCAUCGAGCUCCUAGAGCUCGUGUGAGCCUGAGCGACCACUAGCGCGCCUCCCCGUGCUGUGCAACUCCGGUUCCACUGACAACCGACUCCGUUGUCCGCUGGCGACGACCUAGCGCACGGCACCGGCCUUUUCAGCUCGCGCUCGUGCCGUAGAUCGACGCGGAACCUUGCUCCCGUUCGAACGCAACCAACCGCCGUCGUUUUGGCCGCCGGACGGCGAUUUCCGACCAUCCCCGACGCGCGCCGCCACGCGAUUUGGUCGCCGGAGCUCUCUCCGGCGCCAACGCCGACGUGGCUCAGUGGCCCCCGCCCCUGGGUCGCUGACCCGUGGGCCCCUGGGGCCCGGCUGCCCUGUUGACUUUAGUCAACUGCUGACUGGGCAGGCCCCAGUAACUGACCAGCGGGCCCCUGGGCCCCAGCUUUGACCCGUUGACUUCGGUCGAUGCUGACUGGGCCAAUCCCAGCAGCUGACAUGCGGGGCCCACCAAUAAAACCUUUUAAAAAAUACUAAUUAAUCAGUUAGUUAAAUUAGUUAGUUAAACUAAUCCCUAAUCAGACACUGACUAGUAGGGCCCACAAUCUAAUUAAGUUUUUUUUGUUUAAAUUAACCCAGUUAAUUAGCUACAGAGGCUGACAUGUGGGCCCCACAUGUCAGGGUGACAUGGUCAGCGCACAGUUGACUACUGAUGUCACACACACGACAUGCUGACGUCACCAUUACUGUUUUGGAUAAUUCGAAUUUAAUUUAAUAAAUAAAUUCCAGAAAUUCAAAUAAUCUUUGAAAAUUCAUAUCUUUUAAACCGUAACUCGGAUGAAAAUGUUUUCUACAUGAAAGUUGCUCAGAACGACGAGACGAAUCCGGAUACGCAGCCCGUUCGUCCGCCACACCUCCCUAACCUAUCGAACUCGCAACAUUCCCCCUUCGUUUCAUCUGUCCAAAAAUGCCUAACUCCGGGAAAACUUUCCGGAUAUUAUCCCCCUUCGCCAGUAUCGUGUAGCACUGCGUUAGAACACUCCUAUCGCUGCGCUUUGCCAUGUUAUGUCUUGUUAUGCACUUGCUUGCUAUGUAUUUACUGUUUCUUCCCCCUCUUCUCUCCGGUAGACCCCGAGACUGCCGGCGACCCCCAGUUCGACUACGGUGAUGACGACCCUUCCUUCUUGCCAGAGCAACCAGGCAAGCCCCCCCUGAUCACCAGAUAUCGCCUAUUCUUCUCUAUACUACUUGCAUUAGAGUAGUGUAGCAUGUUACUGCUUUCCGUUAAUCCUAUCCUGAUGCAUAGCCUGUCUUUGUUGCUACAGUUGAUACCCUUACCUGCUAUCCUACUGCUUAGUAUAGGAUGCUAGUGUUCCAUCAGUGGCCCUACACUCUUGUCCGUCUGCCAUGCUAUACUACUGGGUCGUGAUCACUUUGGGAGGUGAUCACGGGUAUAUACUAUAUACAUUAUAUACAUGACACAUGUGGUGACUAAAGUCGGGUCGGCUCGAGGAGUACCCGCAAUUGAUUCUGAUGGGGGGCUGAAAGGACAGGUGGCUCCAUCCCGGUAGAGGUGGGCCUGGGUUCCUGACGGCCCCCGACUGUUACUUUGUGGCGGAGCGACAGGGCAGGUUGAGACCACCUAGGAGAGAGGUGGGCCUGGCCCUGGUCGGCGUUCGCGGAUACUUAACACGCUUAACGAGAUCUUGGUAUUUGAUCUGAGUCUGGCCAUUUGGUCUAUACGCACUAACCAUCUACGUGGGAGUAGUUAUGGGUAUCCCGACAUCGUGGUAUCAGCCGAAGCUCUUUUGACGUCAGCGACUGAGUGGCGCGCGCCGCAUUGGACCGUAAGCUCGCGCUUGUAUUAAGGGGGCUAGGUCUGCUUCCGGCCGCGUACGCAACGUGCAGGUGUGCAUAGGGAGAUGGGCCCAGACCCCUGCGCGCAUAGGUUUAGACCGGCGUGCUGACCUCUCUGUUGAGCCUAGGUGGGGCUACGACGUGUUGAUCUUACGAGGCCGGGCAUGACCUAGAAAAUUGUGUCCGGCCAAAUGGGAUCGAGCGUGUUGGGUUAUGUGGUGCACCCCUGCAGGGAAGUUUAUCUAUUCGAAUAGCCGUGUCCCUCGGUAAAAGGACGACCCGGAGUUGUACCUUGACCUUAUGACAACUAGAACCGGAUACUGAAUAAAAUACACCCUUCCAAGUGCCAGAUACAACCCGGUGAUCGCUCUCUAACAGGGCGACGAGGAGGGGAUCGCCGGGUAGGAUUAUGCUAUGCGAUGCUACUUGGAGGACUUCAAUCUACUCUCUUCUACAUGCUGCAAGAUGGAGAUGGCCAGAAGCGUAGUCUUUGACAGGACUAGCUAUCCCCCUUUUAUUCUGGCAUUCUGCAGUUCAGUCCACUGAUAUGGCCCUUUACACAUAUACCCAUGCAUAUGUAGUGUAGCUCCUUGCUUGCGAGUACUUUGGAUGAGUACUCACGGUUGCUUUUCUCCCUCUUUUCCCCUUUUCUAUACCGGAUUGUCGCAACCAGAUGCUGGAGUCCAGGAGCUAGAGAUCCCGAGGAUGAUUCUACAUGGAGUUCGGCUUCGAGGAGUAGUUAGGAGGUCCCAGGCAGGAGGCCUUGCCUUUUCGAUCGUUGCUACUUUUGUGCUAGCCUUCUUAAGGCAAACUUGUUUAACUUAUGUCUGUACUCAGAUAUUAUUGAUUCCGCUGACUCGUCUAUGAUCGAGCACUUGUAUUCGAGCCCUCGAGGCCCCUGGCUUAUAUUAUGAUGCUUGUAUGACUUAUUUAUGUUUUAGAGUUGUGUUGUGAUAUCUUCCCGUGAGUCCCUGAUCUUGAUCAUACACAUUUGCGUGCAUGACUAGUGUACGGUCAAAUCGGGGGCGUCACAAGUUGGUAUCAGAGCCGACUGCCUGUAGGAAUCCCCCUUUCCAACUCCUUGGCCGAAGUCGAGUCUAGUUGUUGAAAAACAUUUACUAACAUGGCUGUGUGGCUUACGGACCCACGUCGCCAUUGGGUGGUAGUAGGAUCUUUUAUUCCUCAACCUAUACUCUGGGACUCUGACAUCUCUUCUAUUCGGGAUAAAUGAAUUUUGCUAAAUCUAACAUUAGGAUCUCGUUAGCACUUUCACCCGGAGAGCCCCUUAUUACAGAUGAUCGUCUGCUGCACCAGAAGGAUCCGAAGAUACUCUCUGAUGUUCUCUUGAGACUUUAUGGUGUCGCUUUUGCAAUUCCCUUUCAUCGAUAAACUCCUAUGGAUAACCGCGUAUACUCGCCAUUCAUACAAUGUUUCCCAGUUGUUCUGGUUAUUACAAGAUACCCCGAAAUUCUCUCUGUUGUUCCGAGAAUCCUUUGAGCUUACUGCCUUGCUGUUCUUUGACACCUGAAUACCCCUACGGAUAAUCCUCGCACUUACCGAGUAUCCGCUCAUCCCCAGUUGAUUCAAGUAUUCCACAAUAGUCUUCAAAAUACUAUUCGAUCUUCCGAAAAUCCUCAGGAGCCUAUUGCUCUUGAAAUUCUUGUUUGCUUGCAUUAUGGUUAAUCCCAUAAGUCUCGUAAUCUUAUUGGCAUCUCUUGUCACUAUCAUUUUGAGUCCGUUGAUUCAAUUUGUUGCGAAUGCUUGCAAUCCUCAAUCAUAGCCUAGAAUUCAUUCUUCCGACUCAGACGCCAUUUUAUACGUGAGCUGGAUCUCGACCUGUCAAAUUGCCAUCGAUUGUACCCCUAAGCCUACUCAACUUAUCCAUUCUUGAUUAGAGCGUUGCUUCUGACUCCCUUGAAUUUGACAUUAUAAUUCCUUUGCAUUGAGCUUUGAGUUAGUCAGUUGCUUCUAUAAUCCAAUGCCUUUGCAUUGUUACUUCCUCUGGUUGUGUCCCGAUGCUCACAUCAGCUCUGUUAUGGACCGACAUAUCCUUUAAUGGAUUUUAUCCGACAAUGUCCUUCAUAUUUAAUAAGCUUGUGAGCUUUUCCUCGGAUACAUGAUGCCUUUGGUAAAUUGUAUCCUCUGCUUUGUGAACCAUGCUCUACUUUUGAGCUUGUAUUAUUUACUCCGAAGUUUGUGGUAUAAGUUCCUAAGAUGCCCUGAUGGGUUGAACCUAUACCUUCCCUAAAAACCGUAUGAACCCGAAGGUUUUCACAAGCCAUACCCUUCUGGUAUUUUACCAGAUAAUUUUCUACCAUACAACUUCAUCGAAAGCGAGAAGUAAAUGAAAGGUUAUGCAUUGGAGAAGUGGGAGUUGACCUUGAACUUUGCGUUCAUGCCCAUGGACACGAUGUAGAUCUUAUCAUUAAAGCUUUUCUUAAAUUAAUUAUUCCUUUGGUAUAAGUUCAUCUUAUAUCUGGGAUCUGGCCUUUUUCAAUCAUGGUUCCGACCAUGUUCUCCUUAAAUACCAUUUCUCGUGCAAGUUUAAGCACUUGUCUUCUGUAAGAGCAAUACCCCAGUCCAACCUCUACUUUGGUUUGUCGUCGAGUAUUACCCCCUGGUAUCUCGAGAUUAUCACGGAACUGCAUAACUUCUUAUGAGUUCUCCAUCAAGUAUUACAUUCUCAUGGAUUCCAAUUUUUCACGGGCUCCGAGUUAUUAAACACUCAAGGACAUCGAUAACUGAAUCGAGUCCGCAUCAUGAUUAAACAACUCUUAAUAAUCUCCCUUGUUUACGAGUUCGUACCCGAUCACGUCAUCCCUAGCCUGCUCGGCUAUGUUAUUAUCGUGCCGAUUUUAACUGUGCUACCUGGUCUUUAUUCCCGGAGCACCACCUUCGACGCUGAGCUAAGCUUAUGUCGAUUUUCCUCGUCAUAUCAUUUCGCCUUGAACAGCAAGCUUGAUUUCGAGUUUGUGUCGUACCCCUGGUUCCAAUAACUUUUCGCUUCAUCAUUCCUUUGACUUGAUGUCAUCGCCGAUCGAUUACCUCUUCAUAAAUUCUCGCUACAAAUGUGUCGUGAACAUCAUCAACAUUCUGAGCUCUUCCAAGAUAUCUAUCGAAUUCUGGAUGAGAAAUACCAUCCUUGCCCUCGAUGAUUUGUUUUAUCAUCGACCAUUUUAUCGCCUUCCAUUCAACACAAACUUGUUCGUGUUUUGUGUUGUACCUUGAUUUCCUUGCUAUCUAGCUUAUGAUAUGUUCUACCUUGGAGUAUUACCAUCUUUUAUGUCAAGUAUGUCGUAAGAAUUUCACCACCUCGUAUGACAUCUUGGUAUAGUGAUACUUCUCCCCAUCACCAUUCUUUCUUGGUCCCCGUGUUGUUUCUAAAGGGAAUACCGACCAAUGGUCUGUGAUGUGUAAAUUCUAAACUUCUAGCAACCCUACUGCUUUGAAGUUAUUGGUCUAUAGCUUCAUUCUACGUCUAUGGCUUAAUGAAUCAUCAUUCGAACAUUGAUUGUGCUACCUAGCCCAUAUUUCGGGUGCACAUUUCAACCAAUGUUUAACUGUGUAUGUUUUCCUCGAGCAUACAUCAUUAAGUCAUUCGAUCUAGUUAAUGUUAUCUCCUUGUUCACAUAGCGGUGGAAAUCCACAUUUUGGAAAUCUCAAUGGAUUGUCGCUGAGACAAUCAGCCACCUCCUCAUCCUCUCGUUGGUAUACUGAUGGACUCUUGUUUCGGAACUCGCUUCCAUAGUUCGUUUCCCGAGAAUCUUACAAUGUCAUCUCGUCAAUUGGUGUUGCACCUUUCUUCUCAGGCAUCCUGAGUCUGAGUUAUCCUGACACCAAUCAAAUCUGAAUCUCGGUCAGAUAUGAUGGUUGGAACAUAUUUCCAAGAGUUAUAACAUUGGCCUAUUUAUGACCCGGUAAGGUGAUGACAUGCCGAACACACCUGGCCGGAGGACCUAUUGUUAUAAGCUUUCCUUUCAGCAAGGUUAUCUAUUCUUCCAUGAGGAAAUUGUAAGACUUAUUCUAUAGGUUGUUCCUGAUGGAUACUUUUUGAUUCCAAAGUUUGAUCUUCACCUGUUGACCAUGUCAAUGCUAUCUCGAAGCAUGUCUGUGUUACUCCGAUCUUCAAUAAAAACAUUUGAAGCACAAUGCUAAAUUUUCGUUAUCAAUUAUUCAAACACCGUUCUUUGGGUAAUGUCAUGAACUUCCUCUUCCCUAACCUAAAUGGUUCUCUUCUAACCAUUGUCCUUGGGAAGGAUAUACCCCCCUGAAAUAUGUGUUUAAACACAUUUUCCUUUCCAUUGUUCUGUUUACUUUGAUAAUCAUAUUUUCCUUUCCAUUGGUUGGCUUAACGUUUCUGGUCAUCAUUACGAUCUAAGCAGUAUUAAUUCCCUGCUUGUGCAAACACCUCGGUGUACAACUCUGUCAGUAAGACUCUGUUACUAUUGUUGGUGACAUUCCGGUAACCACCGAUGGAUGAGAACUUUGCCUAUUGGUCCGCCUCGUUCAACGAGCAGGAAAAUGGUUCUCUUCAUCCCUCGCCCUUGGUACCGACGAUGUUGCUGACAUAUAACUGACAGGCUACCCUCUGACAUGUCUUGCUAUCAUGACCGUGCAAGAUGUCACUGCUCCUAUAAAAAAACAACCACAUGGUGGGCCCAUAACCCACAGUUCCACAGGAUCGAAACCUGACUCUCUUGUACACCCCUGUUCCCAAGGUUAUUCCUCACGCUUGGCUUCGUAUGUAGUUCACGUGCCACCUUUCGUGAGAUCAUCAAUUUUGGUAUCAGACACAAUACUUAUUCCCGUUGCUCUGAACCCUUCAGGCAUCGAACGAUUGCCUGCCCGCUCGAAACUUCCCCACGAUACCUCCUUACUUUGCUCUCGAUAUUGUCUUAAAUUUCCAUUCGAGAGUUACUUUCCGCCACCUUCCCCGAUGUUAUCAACCAAAUAGUCAUCCUUCCAGAGGUUCGUUCCCCCGGAAUACCCACCCUUUAUUUCUUUCGUAAGAUCAAUGGAAUUCCCAAGGAAAGGAUGUCGGCUUCAUCAUGAUGAACUGAAGCAGAGAAAUGAAGACCUCAAGUAAUGGAUCGACCUCUUUGAGAAGAGCAACCAAGACCGAGAAGAUCCGUUAGAUUUUUUUUCGUAACCCAAUCCCUUCCCCCCUUACUCCCCUCCUAAAUCUCGGGACGAGAUUUCUUGUAGUGGAGGAGAAUUGUGACGCCCGGAUAAUCAAGCUACAGUAACCUCUGCUAAUAAUGCCACAUCACCUCAAUUACUAUUGCUAAUCUCGCGUUAGUUAGAAACUGAUUCAAAUUCAAGUAUGAAUUAAAGUCAAAACAAUUAAAGUUUCAACAAUUAAAACUAAAAUGUUCGGAUUGAACCAAAUAAUGCAUAGGCAAUUAUGGUGGAGAAAUCAAACCUUUAUAAAAUAUUUAAAUACUAUUAGAUGGAUAAAACAUCAGGGAAAACUAUUAUUUAAAUACUUUUAAAUAUUAAAUAAUUAUGAAACUAUUUUAGUUUGGGUAGCAAGUUAAUGUGGCCGUGGCAUAUUUGGUAACAACAAAUUAGGUGCCAUUUUGGUAUUUUGCUAAAACAAAAUAAAAGAGAAACUAGAAAUAAAACAGAAAAGAAAAAUAAAUAAAAAGUAAAAAGAAANNN
rnacentral:lncRNA from 1 species